UACGUAGGGUGCGAGCGUUUGUCCGGAAUUAUUGGGCGUAAAGAGCUUGUAGGCGGUCUGUCGCGUCUGCUGUGAAAAUCCGGGGCUCAACCCCGGACUUGCAGUGGGUACGGGCAGACUAGAGUGUGGUAGGGGAGACUGGAAUUCCUGGUGUAGCGGUGAAAUGCGCAGAUAUCAGGAGGAACACCGAUGGCGAAGGCAGGUCUCUGG
rnacentral:rRNA from 1 species